CAGGCUUAACACAUGCAAGUCGAGGGGCAUCAGGAAGAAAGCUUGCUUUCUUUGCUGGCGACCGGCGCACGGGUGAGUAACACGUAUCCAACCUGCCCUUUACUCGGGGAUAGCCUUUCGAAAGAAAGAUUAAUACCCGAUAGCAUAAUGAUUCCGCAUGGUUUCAUUAUUAAAGGAUUCCGGUAAAGGAUGGGGAUGCGUUCCAUUAGGUUGUUGGUGAGGUAACGGCCCACCAAGCCUUCGAUGGAUAGGGGUUCUGAAAGGAAGGUCCCCCACAUUGGAACUGAAACACGGUCCAAACUCCUACGGGAGGCAGCAGUGAGGAUUAUUGGUCAAUGGGCGCUAGCCUGAACCAGCCAAGUAGCGUGAAGGAUGAAGGCUCUAUGGGUCGUAAACUUCUUUUAUAUAAGAAUAAAGUGCAGUAUGUAUACUGUUUUGUAUGUAUUAUAUGAAUAAGGAUCGGCUAACUCCGUGCCAGCAGCCGCGGUAAUACGGAGGAUCCGAGCGUUAUCCGGAUUUAUUGGGUUUAAAGGGAGCGUAGGUGGACUGGUAAGUCAGUUGUGAAAGUUUGCAGCUCAACCGUAAAAUUGCAGUUGAUACUGUCAGUCUUGAGUACAGUAGAGGUGGGCGGAAUUCGUGGUGUAGCGGUGAAAUGCUUAGAUAUCACGAAGAACUCCGAUUGCGAAGGCAGCUCACUGGACUGCAACUGACACUGAUGCUCGAAAGUGUGGGUAUCAAACAGGAUUAGAUACCCUGGUAGUCCACACAGUAAACGAUGAAUACUCGCUGUUUGCGAUAUACAGUAAGCGGCCAAGCGAAAGCAUUAAGUAUUCCACCUGGGGAGUACGCCGGCAACGGUGAAACUCAAAGGAAUUGACGGGGGCCCGCACAAGCGGAGGAACAUGUGGUUUAAUUCGAUGAUACGCGAGGAACCUUACCCGGGCUUAAAUUGCAGUGGAAUGAUGUGGAAACAUGUCAGUGAGCAAUCACCGCUGUGAAGGUGCUGCAUGGUUGUCGUCAGCUCGUGCCGUGAGGUGUCGGCUUAAGUGCCAUAACGAGCGCAACCCUUAUCUUUAGUUACUAACAGGUUAUGCUGAGGACUCUGGAGAGACUGCCGUCGUAAGAUGUGAGGAAGGUGGGGAUGACGUCAAAUCAGCACGGCCCUUACGUCCGGGGCUACACACGUGUUACAAUGGGGGGUACAGAAGGCAGCUACCUGGUGACAGGAUGCUAAUCCCAAAAGCCUCUCUCAGUUCGGAUCGAAGUCUGCAACCCGACUUCGUGAAGCUGGAUUCGCUAGUAAUCGCGCAUCAGCCACGGCGCGGUGAAUACGUUCCCGGGCCUUGUACACACCGCCCGUCAAGCCAUGGGAGCCGGGGGUACCUGAAGUACGUAACCGCAAGGAUCGUCCUAGGGUAAAACUGGUGACUAGGGC
rnacentral:rRNA from 1 species